GGGGGGAAUAUUGGACAAUGGGCGCAAGCCUGAUCCAGCCAUGCCGCGUGGGUGAUGAAGGCCCUAGGGUUGUAAAGCCCUUUCGGCGGGGAAGAUAAUGACGGUACCCGCAGAAGAAGCCCCGGCUAACUUCGUGCCAGCAGCCGCGGUAAUACGAAGGGGGCUAGCGUUGCUCGGAAUCACUGGGCGUAAAGCGCACGUAGGCGGACUCUUAAGUCGGGGGUGAAAUCCUGGAGCUCAACUCCAGAACUGCCUUCGAUACUGGGAGUCUUCGAGUUCGGGAGAGGUGAGUGGAACUGCGAGUGUAGAGGUGAAAUUCGUAGAUAUUCGCAAGAACACCAGUGGCGAAGGCGGCUCACUGGCCCGAUACUGAUGCUGAGGUGCGAAAGCGUGGGGAGCAAA
rnacentral:rRNA from 1 species